rnacentral:rRNA from 1 species
CGCGAAUUCGCCCUUCGGUUACCUUGUUACGACUUCACCCCAGUUACCGGGCCUGCCUUCGACAGCUCCUCCCUUGCGGUUAGGCCACUGGCUUCGGGCAUUCCUGGCUCCCAUGGUGUGACGGGCGGUGUGUACAAGACCCGGGAACGUAUUCACCGCAACAUUCUGAUUUGCGAUUACUAGCGAUUCCAGCUUCAUACAGCCGGGUUGCAGGCUGUAAUCCGAACUGGGACGUCUUUUUUGUGGUCUGCUCCCCCUCGCAGGUUUGCUUCACUCUGUUGACGCCAUUGUAGCACGUGUGUAGCCCAGCCCAUAAGGGGCAUGAUGAUUUGACGUCGUCCCCGCCUUCCUCCGGGUUAUCCCCGGCAGUCCCUGCAGAGUGCCCGGCUUUACCGCUGGCUACUGCAGGCAGGGGUUGCGCUCGUUGCGGGACUUAACCCAACAUCUCACGACACGAGCUGACGACAACCAUGCACCACCUGUCUCUGCUGUCCCGAGGGAAAGCACGCAUUACCGGGCUGCC